AGUGAACGCUGGCGGCAGGCCUAAUACAUGCAAGUCGAACGGCAGCACAGCAGAGCUUGCUCUGUGGGUGGCGAGUGGCGGACGGGUGAGGAAUACGUGGGAAUCUGCCCAGUCGUGGGGGAUAACGUAGGGAAACUUACGCUAAUACCGCAUGCGCCCUUCGGGGAAAGCCGGGGGACCUUCGGGGCCUGGCGCGAUUGGAUGAGCCCACGUCGGAUUAGCUAGUUGGCGGGGUAAAGGCCCACCAAGGCGACGAUCCGUAGCUGGUCUGAGAGGAUGAUCAGCCACACUGGAACUGAGACACGGUUCCAGACUCCUACGGGAGCAGCAGUAGGGAAUAUUGGACAAUGGGCGCAAGCCUGAUCCAGCCAUGCCGCGUGAGUGAAGAAGGCCCUCGGGUUGU
rnacentral:rRNA from 1 species